UUUAUUCAUCACACGAUCUAGGGCUGCUGGGUGGUGAACGGCGGCUGCUGGGCGAACAGCUGCUCAGCGGCGGCUGGGUGAACGGCGACGGUGAUGGUGGUGAACGCCUCCAGCAAGCGUGGGUUCUCGGCUCCAGCACUCUCGGCGUCGUUGACAGGAACGGUGACAGGAAAAUCUUCUCCGGCGUUGGUUCUCGGCUCCAGCACUCUCGGCGGCGGUGCGGGUUCUCGGCUCCAUCACUCUCGGCGGCGGCGUGCUUCUCAGCGUGGGUCUCUGCUGGUUGUUGGUUGCUGGUUCACGAUUCCAGCAGACCUCAUCUCUCUCAAAAUCCCUAGAAUUCCUCUACACAUCUAGCUCUCACUGCCUUUGAAAUCCCUCAUUUCAAUACAAAGGGACCAAAGCCCAAAUGAAUCCUCAUCAUAUCAUCUCACUGUUUCUAUGUGCAUCGUCUUCCCCCUUCUUUCUCUACGGAGCUGUCUAGGUUUCAUUUCAUUUACAACCAAGUGUGCUGUUGCAGCCCCAAAUUAGUAGAAAUUAAAUGAUGGCUUCUACUAAAGAUCAAGUUCUACAAGCUAGCAAAUAUUGUCGGAAAUUGCACUAAAUGAUCAGGUUCGUCGCUUGAAAGAAUUUGGGGUUACCAAGGGAGAAUUGACUCGCUAUUUGGAUGUACUUUUGAAAGAUAGUGAACAUCUGGCAGCUAUGAUUGAUAAUGUGUCAUCCGUAGAUAAUUUGGAUUUUAUUAUGGAGAGUGACGCAUUGGGCCAUACAGUAAUAGACCAGAGGCAAGGACAUGAGAGUUUGGUCACUGUUGCUGGAACAAUUAAACUUGAGGAGGUCUAUAUUGAGAUGCAUUUCUUUAGCGCAAUACUAGACAACAAUGAUAGUUGAAGCUUUUAGAAUCAAAAUUAUAUUUCACUAACUUUGUAUACAUUUCUUGUUUAAUAUUUGGUGAUGGUAGAAUUUGACUAUAGUAUAAACUAUCAUGUAAUAUGAUUUUGUAAGUCAAGAAGACUAAAUACUGGAAUGAUAUUUUUGAGUAAUUAAUAAAUUAUUUUGUUGUAUU